rnacentral:lncRNA from 10 species
CCCGACUCCGGCUCCGCUCGCCAGGUGCCGCCAGACUCGCGCGGGGCUCAGGCUCUCCACCGGGGGGCGCCUCUCGCCUCCCCUGCGCCGCGCGGCGUCCGGGGAGUGGAAACGCCCGGGCGGGCUGACUCAGGUCUGGCGCCGGCUGUGUCUGGAGUCGUUCCGAACAUUUUGCACGUGUAUUAACGUAUCUGAACCUCAAAACAACCCUGCAAGGAAGGUAUGACUGUUAUUCCCAUUUUACAGAAGAGGAGACUGAGACACAGGUUUAAGUGAUGUACCCAAGAUCACGGAACUAGUAAGUGGCCGAAUCCGCGUUCAAAUCCAGACGGUCUGGCUCCAGAGUCCGCCUUCUACCCCACCGUUGGCUGCCUUGGUUCAGCAACAGUGACUGUCACACGGAGCCCUCAGGAGUCGCGCUGACAAUGGGUGGGCCCUGCCUUCAAGUUCCACACUGUCUGUUUGUGUCAUUACAACACUACUGGAAGUAGGUGCAGUUAUAGACCCGCUGUUCAAGGUCAGCUGAAAUGAAAGUCAGGUCACACGAGUCCAAACUGUGGGGCCACUUAACCACCAACUCCAAGCAGGAAGGUGGACGAUCCCAGACUCGGUCGAAGACAAGCAUGUCUGGUUUGCUUGUCUUCCUUCUCAACCUGAAUGGCACGAACAUGGAGAAAUGCAUACUUACCCUGCCAGCUGGAGAAAACUGGAGACGAAGGAGGGAGCCAGGAGUUUCUACUUUGCCUUCCACCAGUUGCUGACACUUUCUGAACCCCGUCUGUAAAAUGAAGUCAUGCUGCCCAUCACUCAAAGUUGUGUGAAUUGAGAGAGUGCUCAUAGUGCUCUGUGAAUUGCAUAACAUCCAUUUUGCUGUUGAAGAUCAUUUAUUUUGGGUUCUUAGUCUCUCACAAAACCUUAGAACACUGACACCAAGACUCCAGCCUUUCCCUUUCGAAACAUAAUUCCCGUGCGCACCUAAAUGAUACUUUAUUUCAAGAAGUAGAACUGACACCCACACCUCAGCCCCAGAAUUAUUCAGAAUUAGAGAAUUUCAUCAAGAGGGAAGUUAUCCCUUCUAAAACAUCUUCCUCAUUACAGGAAGUAAGAAUGGCAGGAUAACAGUUUCUAGAGUGGAAAAGUGGAGCUCUGGCCUGAUUCUAUCAUCAUGGUGUACCCAGGGAGGCCUCAUUUCCUGGUAUCAAAUUCUCUGUGUUAAGAUAUCUAUGGCCCAAUUCAAAAUGGCUUAAGCAAUAAGAAGGUUUGUUUUCUCACAUAAUAAAAUGUUUGGAGGUAGGUAUGUCCAAGGUUGGUAAAGAGGCAGUUGAACAAUGUGACCAAAGACUCCAGUUCUGGCUGGGCCCGGUGGCUCACACCUGUAAUCCCAGCACUUUGGAAGGCUGAGGCAGGCGAAUCACUUGAGGCCAGGAGUUCGAGACCAGCCUAGCCAACAUAGUGAAACCCUGUCUCUACCAAAAGUACAAAAAUUAGGCAGGCAUGGUGGCGCGCGCCUGUAGUCCCAGUUACUCCAGAGGCUGAGACAGGAGAAUUGCUUGAAACCGAGAGGCAGAGGUUGCAGUGAGCUGAGAUCAUGCCGUUGCACUACAGCCUGGGUGAGAGAGUGAGACUCUCUCAGAAAAAAAAGACCCUGGUUCUGUCUAUCCUUUUGUGCCAUCAUCCUUGGUGUUCUGUUAUCCUGCGGUGUGCCCCUCAUGGUCCCAAGAUGGCUACUGUAGCUCAAAACAUCACAUCAUUACAUGCGAAUGUCCACAAGUGGAAGUUAGGACAUCCCUUCGAGCCUCUUUUUAAGAGUGAAGAAACCUUCCCUGGCUGGAUGCAGUGGCUCACACCUUCUGACCUUCCACUCCUCAAGCCCCGGAGUCAACUCUAGUCACACUGGCCUCCUUGCUGUGCCUCUUCCACAGCGAAUGUGUCCUGGCCUCAGACCCUUUACAUUUGCUGUUCCCUGUGCAUGGAACGCUCUUCCCUCAGGUCAUACAUAGCAUACAUUACUGAGUGCUCUCCAUGUGCCCAGCAUGGUUUGAUGCGCUUUACAUAUAUUAACUCAUGGAACCUAACAGCUUUAUGAGACGAGUCUGUUAUCUCCAUCCCCAUUUGAUAGAUGGGGCAUCCCUGUGGGAGCUCUGCCCAUUCCAGAGGUGCCAGGCCAUUCACUAAUGGGGGCAGGAGCCGGACAAGACCAGAGUGCAAACUCUUCAAGACAAGGGAAGAAUGACCCUGAAGGCAAUUCAGAGAUCAUCAAGGCUAUCUCCUUGCUUUCAAAAGUCGGGAGCAUUGCCUUGCAUUCAGCAGGUUAGAGGGCCUCUGUCCAAAGCCAUGGAGGAAGAGCUGCCCAGAGCUGUUGGUGUGGGGCUACCCAGAGCCCUGGGAACAUGACUUCUGCGGGAUAGAGCUGGAGGGACAGGACCACCACCCCAGAGGGUACAGAGGGUGGGACCACCACCAUUGUGGAUCUGGAAGGCUGCCUCAGUGGGCCUGGAAGCAGAGCAUUUAAUGAACUAAAAAUGAUUUUUCUUGAGCCUUAAGAUCUCAUGGAGUUUGCCUUGUAGUUUGGAUGUAAUUUGGAUCUGCUAUUCCUUUCUUCUUUCCUAUUUCUCCCUUUUGGAAUGGUCUAUCCUAUGCCUGUCUCACCAUUGUAUUUUGGAAGCAGAUAACUUGCUUGAUUUCACAGGCUCACCGCUGGAGAACAAUUUGCCCCAGGAUGCAUCACACCUUGAGUCUCAGCCAUAUCUGACUUAGAUGACACUUAGAUAAUAAAACUUUGGAUUUUAGACUUCAGAGUUAAUGCUGGAAUGAGUUAAGGCUUUUGGGGCUGUUGGAAUGUAAGGAAUGAAUGUAUUUUGCAUGUGAGAAGGAUGUGAAUUUGGCGGGGGAUGGG